rnacentral:rRNA from 1 species
UGUAAGCGUAUACCAAAGUUGUUGCAGUUAAAACGCUCGUAGUCGGAAUUUGGCAGUUCCGGAGGUGUGCACGUCGUGUGCGCACUUUGCGGGGACUGCUUUUGUGGUCUUGCGUAGGAUGAGGCACUUUCAUUAGUGAACGUCCUCACGCAACCACUCUUUACUGUGAGAAAAUCAGAGUGCUCAAAGCAGGCAUUUGCCGUGAAUGUAUUAGCAUGGAAUAAUAGAAUAGGACUCGGUUCUAUUUUGUUGGUUUGUUGGGACUGAGUAAUGAUUAAGAGGGACAGUUGGGGGCAUUUGUAUUCCGGCGCUAGAGGUGAAAUUCUUAGAUUGCCGGAAGACAAACUGCUGCGAAAGCGUCUGCCAAGGAUGUUUUCAUUGA